rnacentral:siRNA from 1 species
AGACCUAGGCCUUGAAUGGCUGCA